rnacentral:rRNA from 1 species
AAUAUUUCGCAAUGGGGGAAACCCUGACGCAGCAACGCCGCGUGAAGGAUGAAGGUUUUCGGAUCGUAAACUUCUUUGAUGGGGGACGAAGAAAUGACGGUACUUCAAAAACAACCUACGGCUAACUACGUCCCAGCAGCCGCGGUAAUACGUAGGUGGCGAGCGUUGUCCGGAAUUACUGGGUGUAAAGGGCGUGGAGGCGGGAAAGCAAGUCAGAUGUGAAAUACCGUGGCUUAACCACGGGGCUGCAUCUGAAACUGUUUUUCUUGAGUGUCGGAGAGGAAAGUGGAAUUCCCAGUGUAGCGGUGAAAUGCGUAGAUAUUGGGAGGAACACCAGUGGCGAAGGCGACUUUCUGGACGAUAACUGACGCUGAGGCGCGAAAGCGUGGGGAGCAAACAGG